UCAAAGAUUAAGCCAUGCACGUCUCAGUGUAAGCAAAUUAAACUGUGAAACUGCGGAUGGCUCAUUAGCUCAGUUAUAAUUUAUUUGAUAAUGGAACCAUUACUACUUGGAUAACUGUUGUAAUUCAAGAGCUAAUACAUGCGUAAAGGUCCGACUCGCGAGGGAAGGGCUGUGUUUAUUAGAUCGAAAACCAGCGGGGGGAGGUUACUUGUAACCUUUUCAUUUUAAAGCUUGGUGAUUCAUGGUAAAUGUCGAAUCAGAUGUUAAAGUCUGAUGUUUCAUUCAAAUUUCUGCCCUAUCAACUUUUGAUGGUAGGAUAGAGGCCUACCAUGGUUUUGACGGGUAACGGAGAAUUAGGGUUCGAUUCCGGAGAGGGGGCUCGAGAGAUGGCCACCAGUCCCAAGGGAGGCAGCAGGCGCGCAAAUUACCCAAUCCCAACCAUUUUGGGGAGGUAGUGACAAAAAAUAAUAAUGCAGGGGUCUUCGGAUUUACUGCAAUUGUAAUGGACUAGGUGUAAAUUGCCUAGUGAGCAGCCAUUAGAGGGCAAGUCUGGUGCCAGCAGCCGCGGUAAUUCCAGCUCUAAUAGUGUAUAUUAAAAUUGCUGCAGUUAAAAAGCUCGUAGUCGGAUUUCGGAGGGGACAGUUACCCUUUGCGACAUUAAUGUUGCGCUUCUUUGAUCCUUGCGAGAGGGAGCAGGCCAAAAUCACUUUUGGUUCUCUGCUUCCCUUUCUGCUCGGCGGUUGUGCGGCCUCAAAGGUUGUUCCUUCCAGUUUUUUUUUUUUUUCGGAACCCCGGUGCUACCUUUACUGUGUAGUAUCGUUAAGGCUUCGGCUUUUGGGAUUCGGAGAGUUUACUUUGAAGAAAAUGUAGUGUUCAAAGCAGGCGUUUGUCGCAGCUGAGCACUUUAGCAUGGAAUAAUAAAAUAGGACUCCUGUGUGUUCUCAACCAGGCUCGGCCGGCUAGACGUCCUUCAUCUGUUGAGUGGGGUCUGUGUGGCUGCACCUCUGUGUUGGUUUGUAGUAAUACAUUCAGCAUACGUGCUUUCAUCGGAUUUUUCCUAUCUCACUUUGAGACGUUUAGUGUCUUAGGUACUGUCUAUAGGAGGGGCACUACAGUAUAUAAACUUCACAGCUUGCUGUGGGGGGAGUAUCCGUUUUGUUGGUUUAUGGAGCAGGGGUAAUGAUUAAAAGAGACAGUUGGGGGCGUCUGUAUUGCAUUGUCAGAGGUGAAAUUCUUGGAUUUAUGCAAGACAAACUAGUGCGAAAGCAUUCGCCAAGGAUGUUUUCAUUAAUCAAGAACGAAAGUUAGGGGAUCGAAGGCGAUCAGAAACCGCCGUAGUCUUAACCAUAAACGAUACCAACUUGGUUUUGGAGGGUUUUUGCCUUUUUACGGCCCCGUCAGCGCCAUUUAGAGAAAUCAAAGUCUCUGGGUUCUGGGGGGAGUAUGGCUGCAAAGCUGAAACUUAAAGAAAUUGACGGAAGGGCACCACCAGGCGUGGAUUCUGCGGCUUAAUUUGACUCAACACGGGAAAACUUACCAGGUCCGGACACGGGAAGGAUUGACAGAUUGAUAGCUCUUUCUUGAUUCCGUGGGUGGUGGUGCAUGGUCGUUCUUAGUUGGUGGAGUGAUUUGUCUGGUUAAUUCCGAUAACGAACGAGACCUCAACCUGCUAACUAGGCGGGCGAUGGGCAUAUGCAAAUACGCUCAACGACUCUUUAUAAAACAUGCAGUAUCAGCAGUGGUAUUGUAUGUUUUGCCUUCUUAGAGGGACUACCAUAGUUGCAUAUGGGGGAAGCAUGAGGCAAUAACAGGUCUGUGAUGCCCUUAGAUGUCCUGGGCCGCACGCGCGAUACACUGAUGCAGCCAACAAGCUUGUCCAAGCCCGAAAGGGUGAGGUAAUCUUCGCAAACUGCAUCGUGAUGGGGAUUGAUCUUUGUGAUUUUGGAUCAUGAACGAGGAAUGCCAAGUAAGUGCAAGUCAUCAACUUGCGCUGAUUACGUCCCUGCCCUUUGUACACACCGCCCGUCGCUCCUACCGAUUGAAUGAUCAGACGAAAUGUUCGGAUUGUUGACUUUUGUCUUUAGCUUGUAUAGGGGCAACUCUAUGCAUUCGGGCGAUAGUUACGAGAAGAACAGUAAAUCUUAUUAUUUAGA
rnacentral:rRNA from 1 species